UACGUAGGGUGCAAGCGUUAAUCGGAAUUACUGGGCGUAAAGCGUGCGCAGGCGGUUGUGCAAGACAGAUGUGAAAUCCCCGGGCUUAACCUGGGAAUUGCAUUUGUGACUGCACGGCUAGAGUGUGUCAGAGGGGGGUAGAAUUCCACGUGUAGCAGUGAAAUGCGUAGAUAUGUGGAGGAAUACCGAUGGCGAAGGCAGCCCCCUGGGAUAACACUGACGCUCAUGCCCGAAAGCGUGGGGAGCAAACAGG
rnacentral:rRNA from 1 species